rnacentral:rRNA from 1 species
UACGGGGGGGGGCAAGCGUUGUUCGGAAUUACUGGGCGUAAAGGGCGCGUAGGCGGCCAUCUAAGUCAGACGUGAAAUCCCUCGGCUCAACCGAGGAACUGCGUCUGAUACUGGAAGGCUUGAAUCCGGGAGAGGGAUGUGGAAUUCCAGGUGUAGCGGUGAAAUGCGUAGAUAUCUGGAGGAACACCGGUGGCGAAGGCGGCAUCCUGGACCGGCAUUGACGCUGAGGCGCGAAAGCCAGGGGAGCAAACGGG